rnacentral:rRNA from 1 species
GGGCCCGCACAAGCGGUGGAGCAUGUGGUUUAAUUCGAUGAUACGCGAGGAACCUUACCAGGGUUUAAAUGCAGAACGACAGGGGUGGAAACACCCCCUUCUUCGGACGGACUGCAAGGUGCUGCAUGGUUGUCGUCAGCUCGUGCUGUGAAGUGUCGGGUUAAGUCCCAUAACGAGCGCAACCCCCAUUUCUAGUUGCCAGCGGUUCGGCCGGGGACUCUAGAGAAACUGCCAGCGUAAGCUGUGAGGAAGGUGGGGAUGACGUCAAAUCAUCACGGCCCUUACAUCCUGGGCCACACACGUGCUACAAUGGUAGGUACAGAGGGAAGCCACCCCGCGAGGGGGAGCGGA